AUUGAACGCUGGCGGCAGGCCUAACACAUGCAAGUCGAGCGAGCGGCGGACGGGUGAGUAAUGUCGGGGAAACUGCUUGUUGGAGGGGGAUAACUACUGGAAACGGUAGCUAAUACCGCAUAACAGCAGAUGUGCCCAGAUGGGAUUAGCUAGUAGGUGGGGUAACGGCUCACCUAGGCGACGAUCCCUAGCUGGUCUGAGAGGAUGACCAGCCAAACUGGAACUGAGGCACGGUCCAGACUCCUGCGGGAGGCAGGAGUGGGGAAUAUUGCCCAAUGGGCGCAAGCCUGAUGCAGCCGUGGCGCGUGUGGGAAGAAGGCCUUCGGGUUGUAAAGCACUUUCAGCGGGGCGGCGUUACCCGCAGAAGAAGCACCGGCUAACUCCGUGCCAGCAGCCGCGGUAAUUC
rnacentral:rRNA from 1 species